rnacentral:lncRNA from 1 species
UUGAAGGCUUAGGAUGACUCUCCAGAGAGAAUUUUCUGUGCUUGGGAUCUUUGUCCACUAAUAGUCAAGGACCACAUUAUAUCAAAUUUAAGAAUUGUAGUUCCUAGAAUGAGCCAGGUCAGCCUUAUCCUGAUAACUGGUCUUUAAGACCCCAUUCAUAUCAGUUCCAUAACUGGCCAGACAUGGAGACUGGGGCUAUGAGCACCAGCUUUGCUGGGAAUGCAAUCAGGCACUGAAAAGGCAUUGUUCUAGUGAUCCUGGAGAUUUCUCUCCCUGGUAGUCUGGGAAGGGAAUUCU